rnacentral:rRNA from 1 species
AGCGAACGCUGGCGGCAGGCUUAACACAUGCAAGUCGAACGGAUCCUUCGGGAUCAGUGGCAGACGGGUGAGUAACACGUGGGAACGUGCCUUUUGGUUCGGAACAACUCAGGGAAACUUGAGCUAAUACCGUAUAAGCCCUACUGGGGAAAGAUUUAUCGCCAUUGGAGCGGCCCGCGUCUGAUUAGCUAGUUGGUGAGGUAAAGGCUCACCAAGGCUACGAUCAGUAGCUGGUCNGAGAGGAUGAUCAGCCACAUUGGGACUGAGACACGGCCCAAACUCCUACGGGAGGCAGCAGUGGGGAAUCUUGCGCAAUGGGCGAAAGCCUGACGCAGCCAUGCCGCGUGAAUGAUGAAGGUCUUAGGAUUGUAAAAUUCUUUCACCGGGGACAUAAUGACGGUACCCGGAGAAGAAGCUCCGGCUAACUUCGUGCCAGCAG